CCUACGGGUGGCAGCAGUGAGGAAUAUUGGUCAAUGGGCGCGAGCCUGAACCAGCCAAGUAGCGUGAGGGAAGACUGCCCUAUGGGUUGUAAACCUCUUUUAUAAGGGAAUAAAGGGGUGCACGUGUGGCUGUUUGCAGGUACCGCAUGAAUAAGGACCGGCUAAUUCCGUGCCAGCAGCCGCGGUAAUACGGAGGAUCCGAGCGUUAUCCGGAUUUAUUGGGUUUAAAGGGUGCGUAGUGGGGUUGUUAAGCGCGCUGUGAAAUUUUGUGGGUAAACCAUGAAAGUGCGGUUGAAACUGGUGGCCUUGAGUGCGGGGAAGGUAGGCGGAAUUCGUGGUGUAGCGGUGAAAUGCUUAGAUAUCACGAAGAACCCCGAUUGCGAAGGCAGCCUGCUGCAGUGCCACUGACGUUGAAGCUCGAAAGUGUGGGUAUCGAACAGGAUUAGAUACCCGGGUAGUC
rnacentral:rRNA from 1 species